AUUGAACGCUGGCGGCAGGCCUAACACAUGCAAGUCGAGCGGAUGAAGGGAGCUUGCUCCUGGAUUCAGCGGCGGACGGGUGAGUAAUGCCUAGGAAUCUGCCUGGUAGUGGGGGAUAACGUCCGGAAACGGGCGCUAAUACCGCAUACGUCCUGAGGGAGAAAGUGAGGGAUCUUCGGACCUCACGCUAUCAGAUGAGCCUAGGUCGGAUUAGCUAGUUGGUGGGGUAAAGGCCUACCAAGGCGACGAUCCGUAACUGGUCUGAGAGGAUGAUCAGUCACAUUGGAACUGAGACACGGUCCAGACUCCUACGGGAGGCAGCAGUGGGGAAUAUUGGACAAUGGGCGAAAGCCUGAUCCAGCCAUGCCGCGUGUGUGAAGAAGGUCUUCGGAUUGUAAAGCACUUUAAGUUGGGAGGAAGGGCAGUAAGUUAAUACCUUGCUGUUUUGACGUUACCAACAGAAUAAGCACCGGCUAACUUCGUG
rnacentral:rRNA from 1 species